CUUAACAACGUUACAGAGAGAUCUUAAGUAGUGGUCUUUGUAUCAGCAAGUCAGGGACACACCAGGAGAGGAGAGCGGAUCGUAGGACAAAAAGAGAGCGUGAUCAUUUGUCCUCAGUUCUUUAUAGGCAAAAUUACAUCAUAACUUUUCAUUUAGAUUCUCCCCAUAUAAGAACCCUACCCCCAAUCUCCCUACACAGCACAUUCCCGAGUCCUCAUGGUACAGAAUAGCAAACAUCAUCUGUUCUUUUUAACCCAUUAGACAUCCACACCAUAAUAUGUAUUUGAAUAGGAACACAAUAGAAUAAGUAAUAUUCUGCAUUUCCCUCUGUGUAUGGUUUAUCUAUAAACCAUAACAAAAUGUUAUUUACCUGUCCAUUCAUUUAUUAUUGGUAUCACAUUCAUAUCACAGUCAUUAGGUAUAAGAGGGUUAGGAGUAGGGUUAGGGUCAGGAUUAGGGUAGGGCUUCCACUAUCACUGUAGGUAGGAAUGUCUAAAUAGAAAACAAACAUUUCACCUCAAUAACCUUGGACGUUGUAUGUGACAUACUACCCAAAAACUUUCCUUCCCUUUUCCAUGUCAUUACAGACUCAGGGAUAAAAUUAUAUGUGUACUACAAGUUAAUCUAAGUCUUUGUUUCCUUCCUGGAUAUUUACAAGAGUAGGCUUCACCAUAAUAUCUGACAUAACAUAAUCAGUUACCAGAAACAUCAUGUUAACUCUUACUGUCAACUAUUUCCUAGAUGCUCGUAUUUCCAAUAUCCAAGGUAUGCCUGGAGUAUUAUUUUUCAAGAGGAAUUCUGGCUCUAAAUGUAUAAGCCAAUAUUGAAUAGUAUAAAGUAUCUCACCACCUUGUCCUCGUGUUGAUACUGAAAUUUGUGCAACAUUCACAUACAUAUCACUUGACCAAUUUACCAUUUCUUCUCCAUUAACAAUCAUGAUAUAUGCGUUUUGAUAUAGUUCCCAUGAUCCCGUUUUUACAUUAUCUUGUACAAAUGAACCUUUGGUCCAACUAAAUAAAUCAUUAGGACCUAUUGUAAUGUUUAAAUUAAUAACAUUGUAAUGUUUAAAUUCAUGUGAACUUAAUUCGCACAUUGCAUACUUGUAGAUAGCCAUCUUUUGUCCCAAAACAAAUAUGACCUUUUAAUACUUAUUCAUUGUCUCUCUUUUUUCUAAUAUUUCCCAAUAAGUCAUUCUUUAAUUCCUGAUUAAAAAUCAUUUUGUUCAUCUUAAAUAUAUCUACUUCAAGAACUGUAGUCAUCAAUGUUAGCAGGAUGCUGAUGAAUAACUUCUUUUUGCUACACGGUUGUCUUUGUGAACACAUUGUCUGUCACCGGCCAACGUUCCUCUGUAGGUCUGCUUACAAAUGAUCUAAUAUAAAACCAAGAAAAACAAAGCAGUAUCAAUAUAUUAUCAAAUUAUGUUGUAGGUUUAUACAAUUUUCACUGAUCUGCAUGAACCCAAAAACUAUUUUGCCUCCGUUUAUUCCGUGAACCAUCAAGAGGUCUUUGCACUUAUCCCAUUGUUUGUCCCAUUGUAUCUGUUAUUUUGUAAGGACCUUCUCAGUUGAAUCUUUCUGUGGGGUAGACAAAUAUGGUUCAUUAGGAAAAUUCAACUGCAUUUUCCUGCCUGUCAUUAAUUCAAAUGGAGUGUAUUGUGUAGCUGAAGACAUAGUGCCUCAAAUACCCAUGUGUUGCCUUUCUCAAGUAACAUUUUUGAAAGUCUAGAUUUCAAUGUUCGAUUCAUACGUUACACAAUCCCAGCAGAUUGUGGGUGAUAUGGAACAUGGAAUCUUUGCUCUAUGCGUAGAAUAGCACACAGUGCUGUCUGACUCUAGAAGUCUAGG